rnacentral:rRNA from 1 species
AUUGAACGCUGGCGGCAGGCUUAACACAUGCAAGUCGAACGAGUGGCGGACGGGUGAGUAAUGCUUGGGCAUCUGGCUGAUGGAGGGGGAUAACGACGGGAAACUGUCGCUAAUACCGCGUACCAUAGGAUGAGCCCAAGUGGGAUUAGGGAGGUGGUGGGGUAAUGGCAUACCAAGCCGACGAUCUCUAGCUGGUCUGAGAGGAUGACCAGCCACACUGGUACUGAGACACGGCCCGGACUCCUACGGGAGGCAGCAGUGGGGAAUAUUGCGCAAUGGGGGCAACCCUGACGCAGCCAUGCCGCGUGAAUGAAGAAGGCCUUCGGGUUGUAAAGCACUUUCAGCGGGGAGGCGUUACCCGCAGAAGAAGCACCGGCUAACUCCGUGCCAGCAGCCGCGGUAAUAC